AACUGCUCCUCCAAGCCUGACAAGCGUCUCGUUCUCAUUGGUCCACCUGGCUCAGGGAAGGGUACACAGUCCCCCAUUAUCAAAGAUGACUACUGUUUGUGCCACUUGGCCACUGGUGAUAUGCUGAGAGCUGCAGUUGCUGCUAAGACUCCCCUGGGGAUUAAGGCUAAAGAAGCCAUGGAUAAGGGAGAACUUGUAUCCGAUGAUUUGGUUGUUGGGAUAAUUGAUGAAGCAAUGAAGAAACCAUCUUGUCAAAAAGGAUUCAUUCUGGAUGGCUUUCCAAGGACGGUUGUUCAAGCACAGAAGCUUGAUGAAAUGCUUCAGAAGCAGGGAACUAAAAUUGAUAAGGUGCUCAACUUUGCAAUUGAUGACUCAAUAUUGGAGGAAAGGAUUACCGGCCGUUGGAUCCAUCCUUCUAGUGGUCGGACUUACCACUCUAAAUUUGCACCUCCCAAAGUUCAAGGUGUUGAUGAUGUUACAGGAGAGCCUCUGAUUCAAAGAAAAGAUGACACUCCAGAAGUUCUAAGGUCAAGGCUGGAAGCAUUCCACAAGCAAACUGAACCUGUUAUUGAUUAUUAUGCCAAGAAAGGUGUUCUUGCGCAGCUUCAUGCAGAGAAAUCCCCAAAAGACGUCACUGCUGAGGUUCAGAAGGUUCUUUCUUCAUAAGAGUGAUUGCAAUGUUGGAUAACCAAAUCAGCAGUUUUCUCCUUCCAAUUUCUAUCCAAGACACUUGAUUCAUGGUAGUUAUCAAGUCCUCUGAAGUAUUUUUUGUUCUAGUUGUCCAAUAAAAUUUUGCAUAAGAAUUUUGUGGCAGUACUCAUAGUUUGUUUUUGAAUCUUUUGCUCUUCAUUUCUCUGGCUGAUCAUCAAGGCCAUAUAGUUAUGUUUCUUCAUCAGAUACCAAAAUUGACAAGCAUGUGUCUUUUGUGAUCAGAUACUGGAAAUUGACAUUUGACAACCAUCUAAAGAAUGUCUGAAUAUGAUAUCCCGC
rnacentral:misc_RNA from 1 species